UACGUAGGGGGCAAGCGUUGUCCGGAAUCAUUGGGCGUAAAGAGCGUGUAGGCGGCUCGGUAAGUCCGCUGUGAAAGUCCAGGGCUCAACCCUGGAAUGCCGGUGGAAACUGUCGAGCUAGAGUCCGGAAGAGGCGAGUGGAAUUCCUGGUGUAGCGGUGAAAUGCGCAGAUAUCAGGAAGAACACCCGUGGCUAAGGCGGCUCUCUAGUACGGUACUGACGCUGAGACGCGAAAGCGUGGGGAGCGAUCAGG
rnacentral:rRNA from 1 species